GGGGUGUCUCAAAUUAGCCACGGGCUGCUGUUCUCCACUAACUUACUUUUUAAAGAGAGGAACGGGCUAGCAAUAUAUUAAUAUAGAGAUUUCUCCAAGCAAAAACAAGAUCCUGAAUAUGAGGGCAGAAUGAGGGCGUUUUACAGAAAUGCAGAAUUAGGUUCAUUCAGAUCUUUGUGGCACCAAAUGCAUUGAAAGUCACAGGUCAGCUGGAAUUCUGGAAAGAGGGUGCAAAGAAAAAGGAUCUGCCUGAAUCCCAUCCUGCUGUUUCUCAUCGGAGAGCUUGUCAACUUUGACUGUCAAAAUUACUGAAAUUUAACACAACACAAACUCAUUUUUAAUGUAUUAUUUGAUUUUAUUUACACUACCAGUCAAAAGUUUUUGAACAGUAAGAUUUUUAAUGUCUUCUGCUUACCAAGCCUGCAUUUAUUUGAUCCAAAGUACAGCAAAAACAGUACAAUUUUGAAAUAUUUU